ensembl:lncRNA
UUUUGGUCACCUGACUUCCUGUUGGUGUUGCUGAGCUUAGUUGCGGGUUACUUUUCCGAAGCCUCCAUCGCAGCUGGUAGGUGUUUACUCAUUGUAGUGUAUAUAUUACUUUGCUUGAUGGUAAACAGCUAUUGUUUGUAGGUCGUAGCUGUAGAAGCCUCCUCUGAGCCAUUCUGCUUACGUUUUAUGACACGGCUUACUUGAUGCGGAGUGCCGACGUGGAGGAGACCAGGGUGCCUUGGUGGUGGGAUCCUCUGAGUGUACACACCUGCCUUGUUUAAUUUAUAGUAUGCGGAGUGCCGACGUGGAGGAGACCAGGGUGCCUUGGUGGUGGGAUCCUCUGAGUGUACACACCUGCCUUGUUUAAUUUAUAGUGUGAGUGUGUGAUAGUGUGCUGCACUUGUGUCUUGGUGUAUUUUCUUCUUUUUGAGUUUGUGUGUGGCAUCCCUGCCCUCCACUGGUAAGCCUCAGCUCUGAAUACC